rnacentral:rRNA from 1 species
GCACAAGCGGUGGAGCAUGUGGUUUAAUUCGACGCAACGCGCAGAACCUUACCAGCCCUUGACAUGUCCGGGACCGGUCGCAGAGACGUGACCUUCUCUUCGGAGCCCGGAACACAGGUGCUGCAUGGCUGUCGUCAGCUCGUGUCGUGAGAUGUUGGGUUAAGUCCCGCAACGAGCGCAACCCUUGUCCUUAGUUGCCAUCAUUAAGUUGGGAACUCUAAGGAGACCGCCGGUGACAAACCGGAGGAAGGUGGGGAUGACGUCAAGUCAUCAUGGCCUUUAUGGCCAGGGCUACACACGUGCUACAAUGGCAGGUACAGAGGGACGCCAACGCGCGAGCGGGAGCCAAUCCCAGAAAGCCUGUCGUAGUCCGGAUCGGAGUCUGCAACUCGACUCUGUGAAGUCGGAAUCGCUAGUAAUCGCAGAUCAGCAUUGCUGCGGUGAAUACGUUCCCGGGC